AGAGUUUGAUCCUGGCUCAGGACGAACGCUGGCGGCGUGCCUAAUACAUGCAAGUAGAACGCUGAAGAGAGGAGCUUGCUCUUCUUGGAUGAGUUGCGAACGGGUGAGUAACGCGUAGGUAACCUGCCUUGUAGCGGGGGAUAACUAUUGGAAACGAUAGCUAAUACCGCAUAACAAUAGGUGACACAUGUCAUUUAUUUGAAAGGGGCAAUUGCUCCACUACAAGAUGGACCUGCGUUGUAUUAGCUAGUAGGUGAGGUAACGGCUCACCUAGGCGACGAUACAUAGCCGACCUGAGAGGGUGAUCGGCCACACUGGGACUGAGACACGGCCCAGACUCCUACGGGAGGCAGCAGUAGGGAAUCUUCGGCAAUGGGGGCAACCCUGACCGAGCAACGCCGCGUGAGUGAAGAAGGUUUUCGGAUCGUAAAGCUCUGUUGUAAGUCAAGAACGAGUGUGAGAGUGGAAAGUUCACACUGUGACGGUAGCUUACCAGAAAGGGACGGCUAACUACGUGCCAGCAGCCGCGGUAAUACGUAGGUCCCGAGCGUUGUCCGGAUUUAUUGGGCGUAAAGCGAGCGCAGGCGGUUUGAUAAGUCUGAAGUUAAAGGCUGUGGCUCAACCAUAGUUCGCUUUGGAAACUGUCAAACUUGAGUGCAGAAGGGGAGAGUGGAAUUCCAUGUGUAGCGGUGAAAUGCGUAGAUAUAUGGAGGAACACCGGUGGCGAAAGCGGCUCUCUGGUCUGUAACUGACGCUGAGGCUCGAAAGCGUGGGGAGCGAACAGGAUUAGAUACCCUGGUAGUCCACGCCGUAAACGAUGAGUGCUAGGUGUUGGAUCCUUUCCGGGAUUCAGUGCCGCAGCUAACGCAUUAAGCACUCCGCCUGGGGAGUACGACCGCAAGGUUGAAACUCAAAGGAAUUGACGGGGGCCCG
rnacentral:rRNA from 1 species